UUUCCCCACAGGUGCCACUGCCCACCCUACCCAGUCCUUCCUCCUGGACCUCCUGAAUCCCAGCCCCAGAGGGAGGUGCCCCCAAGUCUUCCAUGGCAACACACACACUGACUUCUCCUCCUCACCCAGAGCUGCAGCUGCACCUGCAGCUGGACGAGAGCUGUGCCGAGGCCCAGGACGGGGAACUGGACGGGUUGUGGACCACCAUCACUGUCUUCAUCUCCCUCUUCCUGCUCAGCGUGUGCUACAGUGCCACUGUCACCCUGUUUAAGGUCAAGUGGAUCUUCUCAUCUGUGGCAGACCUGAAACGCACCAUCGCCCCUGACUACAGGAACAUGAUUGGGCAGGGGGCCUAGGCACCUCCCAGACCAGCUGGGCAUACCCACUCUGAUAUGGCCACCCCGGACCCUCACCUCUGGAAAAGCUUGCUGGUGCCCACCAUAGCAGCCGUAGCAGGGAGCCGCAUCAGGCCCCAUGCCAGGCCACCCACCCUGGAGCCAGUCCAACCGCCAGCCUCCUGGGCAUGGGGUUUAAGCCCAUUUUCUGGAUCCCCAGUGAUGAUACCUGCUGCCCAGCCUUCCAGAAGCCUGGAACAUGUUGCACUCCUGGUCCAUGGCUGGCCAACCUCCAAAUGGGCUAUCCCUGGACCCCAGCCUGAGACCCAGGCUGCUUCUCCCACAGCUCCUCCACAGAGGCUCCCAAGCUGGGCUGUCCCCCCAGGGUAUCCUGUCCCCUAACCAUGGUGCACAGGGGUCCCGGCUCUUCUCCAAGGAGGCAGUUUGGAGAACAGCCUGCCUGGCCACAUGGCACCACAAAGACCCUGCCACAAGCCACAGCAGAUGGUGUCAUGAACAAGCAAGAGUCAGGUAACCAGGUCCCAGGAAGCCAGCACUGCCUGGAAGAGGGAGAAACUGAGGAGCACCAGGCAAAGAGGGCACAGCUGGGCCCCCCUUCAACCCUGUUCUGGGCUGUGUGUACCUCAGGGCAGGGGCAACCUGUCCAGGGUGUGGCAGAGGCCCGGGCUGGCUCACCCCAGGCCCUUCUACAGACAUGAAGGAGCCACCAGCAGGAGACAGCCGUACACGCCUGCCUGGACAUCAUUAGCAUCAUCAGUGUCUGACAGGAAGCAUCCUGGGACCACUCCUGUCACCCCACCGACCAGCCAGGGCAGCCUCCACCUGCCCCUGCCCGCAGGAUCCUCCCCACUGGACACUGCAUGCCCUGUUCCAUCCACACAGCAGCUCUCCCUGUGGAGACUGAGCACCAACGGACAAGCACAGGAACCCCAGCCACUGGCCACCUCAGCCUGGGGUCUCCCUGUUACUCCCUUAAAGACCUGAAUGAAAAUCCUGGUUCCUGGCUUCAGACUGGUCCCGUUCUGGCCAUUGCG